AACGAACGCUGGCGGCAUGCCUAACACAUGCAAGUCGAACGAGACCUUCGGGGCUAGUGGCGCACGGGUGCGUAACGCGUGGGAAUCUGCCCUUCGGUUGGGAAUAACUGAGAGAAAUUUCAGCUAAUACCUUAUAAUGUCUUCGGACCAAAGAUUUAUCGCCGCGGGAUGAGCCCGCGUAGGAUUAGGUAGUUGGUGGGGUAAUGGCCUACCAAGCCGACGAUCCUUAGCUGGUCUGAGAGGAUGAUCAGCCACGCUGGGACUGAGGCACGGCCCAGUAUCCGACGGGAGGGAGCAGUGGAGUGUAUUGGACACUGAGCGAAAGCCUGAUCCAGCAAUGCCGCGUAAGUGAUGAAGGCCUUAGGGUUGUAAAGCUAUCUUACCCGGGAUGAUAGUGACAGUACCGGGAGAAUAAGCUCCGGCUAACUACGUG
rnacentral:rRNA from 1 species